UNGAAUACUUGUAUUUAUGCUGAGCCAUG
rnacentral:piRNA from 1 species